GCGGAAGACAAAAUAAACAGGGAGAUAAUGUUUAUAUAUUUAGGGAGUAAUCAAGAUGAUUAUCAAAAUAUCAAGUUGUGUAUUAUAACUAUGUGUAAUAUGUUGGUCCUAUGUCUGUUGGGUGAAAAGGACUGGCCGGUGCAUUGGUUUUUGGAAGAUGUGUGUGCAACUAUGCAAUUAUGGAUGUGGCAACUGCGUUGGUGUGUGUCGGUUCCUGCGGCUCGUGGCUGGUGGUGACUUAUCGGGUUACGCUUCGCCGUCGCCUAUGUUGGUUGCGUUGCAACACGUCGGCUGGAGGUGUGUGUGGAUGCAAGAGUCAUAUGUCCAUAUCCUCUCACCGGUGGCACCAGUCAGAAAAUAACAUAUCCUAGUCCCACGUGAUUCUCUUAAGCAUCAAUGAUAAUGUUGUCUCUCAUAACCAACUUGGUCACCUAGCUCCAAUUGGAUCAAGUUCAGCAGUCGGCUCAAGCCUGUUUUUUUACUGGUUUGUUUUGGCAAUGGCGUGAGUGUUCAGAUUGGUUUAGCCGUCUCCUUUUUGUUUAGUUUCUCCAUUGUUAUUAUCGGAUACCAAAUUUCAUUUCAAGGAGCAGUCGCUGUGUUAAUGGGUUCGAAAUCCGACCUUCAUGAUUCUCAGAGACUAAAGCCUAGGCGAGCAAGUUGGGUCAGUUGAGGUUGGCGGUUCCCUUCAACAGUGUGGUUUUUUUUCUAUUUUCCGAGUUUUGAUUAUCGGGCAAAAAAAAGGAGAGUCGCGUGAUCUUUAAUAAUGUGUGUGGGCGACUCUUUUGAGAAAAAAGGAAAUGACGAUGGAGUAGUUAGCUUAGGUGAAACUAGUGUCGUUGUCCGUUGAUUUUUUUUUGUCAGAGGUGAUUAUUUUAUAUUGAUAAAAUGCAGAUUUGCAUA